AAACUGCCUGAUGGAGGGGGAUAACUACUGGAAACGGUAGCUAAUACCGCAUAACGUCGCAAGACCAAAGAGGGGGACCUUCGGGCCUCUUGCCAUCGGAUGUGCCCAGAUGGGAUUAGCUAGUAGGUGGGGUAACGGCUCACCUAGGCGACGAUCCCUAGCUGGUCUGAGAGGAUGACCAGCCACACUGGAACUGAGACACGGUCCAGACUCCUACGGGAGGCAGCAUG
rnacentral:rRNA from 1 species